rnacentral:tRNA from 1 species
UCCCGGGUAGCUCAGUGGUAGAGCAGGCGGCUGUUAACCGCCCGGUCGUUGGUUCGAGUCCGACCCCGGGAGCCA